rnacentral:snRNA from 1 species
GUGCUCGCUUCAACAGCACAUAUACUAAAAUUGGAAUGAUACAGAGAAGAUUAGCAUGGCCGCUGGCACAAGCAUGACACGCAAAUAUGCACAUUUGUGAAGCGUUUCAUAUUUUU